rnacentral:lncRNA from 1 species
GGGGCGGAUCCAGGAUUUUGGAAAGGGGGGCGAAGUAAUAAUUUUUGCCGAGCGGAGCGAGGCGAAAAAUUUUGGGGACCUUUUUUUUGCUAAAAAACAUAAAAUAAGUGUAAAAUGCAUUUUAGUUAAAGUGUAGGGGCUGGACAUUUUUGGUGCCGUAUUCUCUACAUUGAUUGUCUAUUAUAAAAUGAUUGAAUGGAUCCAAAGCUAUGUACUAUUUAAUAUAUUUGAAGUGGAAUUUGUCAGUAAAAAAUGGACAUGGGAAAUUCCCGUUUGUUGUAUGGUUAGUUAGCAUAACUUUACAGAUUUCUUGUUGUGAACAAGAUAUACGGCUAUUCAAUGAAAUUUACAAUACGACCGACACGAAGAAAAACAAACAAGAAAUUUUUAUCCAUUGAAAUGUUUGGUUG